rnacentral:rRNA from 1 species
UCAGGACGAACGCUGGCGGCGUGCCUAACACAUGCAAGUCGAGCGAGGAGAUCCUUCGGGAUGAUCCUAGCGGCGGACGGGUGAGUAACACGUGGGCAACCUGCCUCAUAGAGAGGAAUAGCCUUCCGAAAGGGAGAUUAAUACCCCAUAACAUUGCAGUUUCGCAUGGAACAGCAAUUAAAGGAGUAAUCCGCUAUGAGAUGGGCCCGCGGCGCAUUAGCUAGUUGGUGAGGUAAUGGCUCACCAAGGCGACGAUGCGUAGCCGACCUGAGAGGGUGAUCGGCCACAUUGGGACUGAGACACGGCCCAGACUCCUACGGGAGGCAGCAGUGGGGAAUAUUGCACAAUGGGGGAAACCCUGAUGCAGCAACGCCGCGUGAGUGAUGACGGCCUUCGGGUUGCAAAGCUCUGUCUUCAGGGACGAUAAUGACGGUACCUGAGGAGGAAGCCACGGCUAACUACGUGCCAGCCGCUGC